rnacentral:rRNA from 1 species
GAUGAACGCUGACGGCGUGCCUAAUACAUGCAAGUCGAGCGAACGGACGAGAAGCUUGCUUCUCUGAUGUUAGCGGCGGACGGGUGAGUAACACGUGGAUAACCUACCUAUAAGACUGGGAUAACUUCGGGAAACCGGAGCUAAUACCGGAUAAUAUUUUGAACCGCAUGGUUCAAAAGUGAAAGACGGUCUUGCUGUCACUUAUAGAUGGAUCCGCGCUGCAUUAGCUAGUUGGUAAGGUAACGGCUUACCAAGGCAACGAUGCAUAGCCGACCUGAGAGGGUGAUCGGCCACACUGGAACUGAGACACGGUCCAGACUCCUACGGGAGGCAGCAGUAGGGAAUCUUCCGCAAUGGGCGAAAGCCUGACGGAGCAACGCCGCGUGAGUGAUGAAGGUCUUCGGAUCGUAAAACUCUGUUAUUAGGGAAGAACAUAUGUGUAAGUAACUGUGCACAUCUUGACGGUACCUAAUCAGAAAGCCACGGCUAACUAC